CUACGGGCGGCUGCAGUGAGGAAUAUUGGUCAAUGGGCGCGAGCCUGAACCAGCCAUCCCGCGUGCAGGAUGACGGCCCUAUGGGUUGUAAACUGCUUUUCUAUGCCAAGAAACCUGAUUACGUGUAAUCAGUUACCGGUAGCAUAGGAAUAAGCAUCGGCUAACUCCGUGCCAGCAGCCGCGGUAAUACGGAGGAUGCAAGCGUUAUCCGGAUUCAUUGGGUUUAAAGGGUGCGCAGGUGGGCUUGCAAGUCAGUGGUGAAAUGCUGCCGCUUAACGGUAGAACUGCCAUUGAUACUGCGAGUCGUGAGUAUGGUUGAGGUAGGCGGAAUGUGUUGUGUAGCGGUGAAAUGCAUAGAUAUGACACAGAACGCCAAUUGCGAAGGCAGCUUACUAAGCCAUGAUUGACGCUGAGGCACGAAAGCGUGGGGAGCGAACAGGAUUAGAUACCCUCGUAGUC
rnacentral:rRNA from 1 species